rnacentral:ncRNA from 1 species
CGGUUCGCCGCGCCGGAGCUAAGACGGGAAGCCGGUGCGCACCCUGACAAGGGAGCAAUGCCGGCGCUGCCCCCGCAACUGUAAGCGGCGAGCGGCGGUCCACUCAUGUCACUGGAAGGCUCGCCUUCCGGGAAGACGGACCGCUUUGCCUUGACCCGCGAGCCAGGAGACCUGCCUCCGACG